GCGAGUGAAGCGGCAACAGCUCAAAUUUGAAAUCCGGCCCCCGCCCCGGGGGCCCGAGUUGUAAUUUGCAGAGGGUGCUUUCGGCGCGGCGCCUUCCGAGUUCCCUGGAACGGGACGCCACAGAGGGUGAGAGCCCCGUACGGUCGGACGCCCAGCCGGCGUAAAGCCCCUUCGACGAGUCGAGUAGUUUGGGAAUGCUGCUCAAAACGGGAGGUAUAUGUCUUCUAAAGCUAAAUACCGGCCAGAGACCGAUAGCGCACAAGUAGAGUGAUCGAAAGAUGAAAAGCACUUUGGAAAGAGGGUUAAACAGUACGUGAAAUUGUUGAAAGGGAAGCGCUCGCGACCAGACGCGGGCCCGCGGUCGGCGUCGGCGGUCCCGCCGGCGCGCCCCGCGGGCCCGGGCCAGCAUCAGCUCGCCGCGGGGGACAAAGGCGCCGGGAACGUGGCUCCCCACGGGGAGUGUUAUAGCCCGGCGCGCAAUGCCCCGCGCGCGGGCUGAGGCACGCGCUCCGCAAGGAUGCUGGCGUAAUGGUCGCCAGCGACCCGUCUUGAAACACGGACCAAGGAGUCGUCCUCGUAUGCGAGUGUUCGGGUGUCAAGCCCCUACGCGCAAUGAAAGUGAACGCAGGUGAGAGCCUCGGCGCAUCAUCGACCGAUCCCGAUGUUCUCGGACGGAUUUGAAUUAGAACAUACCGGGCC
rnacentral:rRNA from 1 species